AGAGACUUAGGUUAACAAAACCAUGGGCCUUCAAAGCCCAAAACAAGAGCGGGACUCUUAGUCUCUG
rnacentral:tRNA from 1 species